rnacentral:misc_RNA from 1 species
GAUGAAGAACGUAGCGAAAUGCGAUAAGUAGUGUGAAUUGCAGAAUUCAGUGAAUCAUCGAAUCUUUGAACGCACAUUGCGCCCCUUGGUAUCCCGAGGGGCAUGCCUGUUCGAGCGUCAUUUCACCACUCAAGCCUGGCUUGGUGUUGGGCGACGUCCCCUUUGGGGACGCGCCUCGAAACGCUCGGCGGCGUGGCACCGGCUUUAAGCGUAGCAGAAUCUUUCGCUUUGGAAGUCGGGGCCCCGUCUGCCGGAAGACCUACUCGCAAGGUUGACCUCGGAUCAGGUAGGGAUACCCGCUGAACUUAAGCAUAUCAAUAAGCGGAGGA